GAUGAACGCUGGCGGCGUGCCUAAUACAUGCAAGUCGAGCGAGUGGCGGACGGGUGAGUAAUGUCUGGGAAACUGCCCGAUGGAGGGGGAUAACUACUGGAAACGGUAGCUAAUACCGCAUACCAUCGGAUGUGCCCAGAUGGGAUUAGCUAGUGGGUGGGGUAACGGCUCACCAAGGCGACGAUCCCUAGCUGGUCUGAGAGGAUGACCAGCCACACUGGAACUGAGACACGGUCCAGACUCCUACGGGAGGCAGCAGUGGGGAAUAUUGCACAAUGGGCGCAAGCCUGAUGCAGCCAUGCCGCGUGUAUGAAGAAGGCCUUCGGGUUGUAAAGUACUUUCAGCGAGGAGGCGUUACUCGCAGAAGAAGCACCGGCUAACUCCGUGCCAGCCGCCGCGGUAAUUC
rnacentral:rRNA from 1 species